UUAUUAGGCAAUCCAUUAGACGUUUGUUUGACAAUUCAGCGGUGGGUUCUGUCAGCAGGACUACUCCUGCGAACAGAAAAACUCGUCCGACAAACAUCUUUCGUUAGUGCGAUUCGUUUGAUGUUGGAUCGAAUCAACGAUAUUGUUGGACGUCGCACCCCUCGGAGUAACGUCAGAAGAAGUAAACAAGAAAUAAUCAGCUGAUCAGAAACGUCUCAUGGAUUGCCUAAUUCCGUGCGGAAUUUUGACAUUAUUUUGUUCGCGAAGUUUUGACACCUUAUUAUUUAUGUGUUUGCUGUCAGAUGUCGCUUCUGGCCUUCCUGACAACACAUCAGCUGUUACUUGUUUACAUAAUUAAGUCAACGCUUUUAUGUAUAAUUAUCAAUAUGCUUCCCUUCGACUCCGUGUUCCAAGAAAAAAAACAAUUGAACGAUUUGGAAUAUGGUUCACUAGGAUAGGCCUUGCCGGUGCAUCAUUUCGUCCGAAGUAUUGGAACAUAAAUCGAAAAAUUCAGGAAAAUCAGCAACAAACAACUGCUCGACUAAGCUAACGGUUUCAAGUUGGACGACUGGUUGGUAGAAUUCCUGGAAACUAUUUCAAUUACUUUCCGGUCAGUCCCAAGGAACGCAAGUUGAUGAUCGUCGAAUUUAUUUUGUGGCCUAUUAAGAUCCGAGACAAUCAUGAUAACACAUGUUUUUGAUACUGUCAUGACAUCAAUUUUAUACAAACCGAUUCAUUUGGUUGUUUUUGCUAUGUUGACAGUAGCUACGAUGCGCGUUGUAGGCAUUGAAUACAAGGAAACACUGGUUUUGCCUAUGUACAGCGUAGUUCAUGCAAUGUUUACUUUGGCAACACAAUCCUUCGAUGCAAAAGCAGUAAAUAAAAAUAUAAAGGGUUAACUUAUUUGGUAAAGAUGCACACAUCAAGCUUAGAACCAGUUUCGCUACCACCAGAUUGAGUAUCAAAAGGCGUAGUGAUGAAAACAGUCCGACUUGUUCCGAAGUUUACAGUCUUGUCAAAGGGAUGAAACUAUCAAUGUUUCUGGAGUAAUUAAAAAAACAUUUUAAUUACUAUUCCUGGAUAAUAACGAUCACCUCAACUUACUAAACAUAAAUCUUAAUUCAAUUCGUAAAUGUCCGAAAGAUGUGUGUAAAGCAUUCGCCGAGAGCAAUAUAUUCAUACGGUCCACGAUAGUUUUGGGAUUGGCAGCAUGUAUGAAGCCGUUGACCAAUCUUUUUCCUAUAAAGGAUACGAAAAAUGGAAAUGCCGAUAGUCUUGCCAAUCAGUGAAAGCGGCUCGAUAUGCUAUAAAAGAAUAAAGUGGUUCGCUCUGGGCGGCAAAAUCACUAGGAAUGUAAACAUUUCAUUUAUAAAACAAUAUUUGGCCAGUUCCUCGUAAUUAAAAUCAAUGGAAUAGAUUUUAUGGACUUGCAAAUGUGUGCUUCAGAUAUGUUAAACGGUAGGCGAAAUUCAUAUUAAUUGAUUAUUCACAUCCAAAUCCGAGUAGGCAAUUUUUACACAACUCACUUAAACAUGUCAGGGCUGGACCCUAGAACAUAACCAAAACUGUUACCAAACUAAAACCUUCAUUUACGAGCCAAACUGGGAAUUGAAUCAGGUCGUAAUAAAGAAUUUGUUGCUUGGGUUAAUGAAAAAAUCUUAAAAUAGGUUUUAAAAAUCGCAUUAAGGAUAAACUUAAAACUAUAGCUUAAUCAGUCAAAAAUUAUUAAUCUCCCUAGCGAACAAAUCGUAAGAUCUACAAGUAUUAUCUACUACCAGUGGCGGAUCAAGGGAGACGGUGUUGGGGGACCCCCCCCCCCUCGACAAUUUUAAAAGUUUCAAUUUGUAAUUCGUUCUAAAUUCAAAACAAUUUCAAACGAGAUUCUAUCACCAAGACUAAUUUUAAUUAAAUGAAAAUUUCGCAAGAGGUACAUACUAAGCUUAAGACAAGACGUGACAAUCGGCUUCUUAUUUUUCCUACGGCAUUCUUCUUUUCGUCUAUUUUCACCAUGCCGAAAUCUUCCGAACAGUGUUGCUAUUUUUUAUUAAUGAAAAUGGAGUUUUGUUAAUUUAUUUUAUUCCGACAAUGUUCUGUACCUUGAAUCCAAAUUGUACCUUGAAUUGUCGUUCGUCAUGUGGCUGGAACACCCACUAUCAACGAUCCAGGGUCCACUACAUUUUGUCCCCGCUAUAAAACAAAUCGCUGAAUCACUUUCUUUAGCCUGCUUGGCUUUUGCAUUUCCCAAUUUAGGCUUUUCUUCACGUUUCACGUCACUACCACCCGCACCACCUUUCGGCUGCUGAUGAAGCUGUGUACAAUUUCGACGCCCCGGUUUACCGCACUGAUAGCUCCGAUAAAUCAUCGCGAUUUUUAGUGACGUCUCCAUCUCCUGACCGGCACAAGCCAACUUGUCGAAAUGCUCAUCAAGCUCGAACAGAUGCUUCUCAAUAUCGUCACCUGCGGUCAUAUUCAGGCUGCAAAUACGACGUAGCAAAGCCACUCUCGUCGUCAUCAAGCUCUUCUCGUGAAAAGCUUUUAACUUAUUCCACGCAUCUAACGCUGACUCAGCAUUGCGCACGAGAUUAAGCUGACUGUCAUCCACGCACAAAACAAUAAUAGCCAGCGCUUUCUCAUCUAGCUUCGUCCAGUCAUCAGUGACCGGCAUUUACGCCAGUAAACAAAAUACAUUCUACCAUCUACUAUAACUAUGCAACAAUAACAUGCCAUUGCGGUCAUCCGCAUAGCCACGCGACCGCGAUCCUGCAAACAUAACAGAACCUCUGCGAUUUACCCUCGA